UGGGGAAUCUUCCGCAAUGGGCGAAAGCCUGACGGAGCAACGCCGCGUGAGUGAUGAAGGCCUUCGGGUUGUAAAACUCUGUCUUCAGGGAAGAAACAAAUGACGGUACCUGAGGAGGAAGCCACGGCUAACUACGUGCCAGCAGCCGCGGUAAUACGUAGGUGGCAAGCGUUGUCCGGAAUUACUGGGCGUAAAGAGCGCGUAGGCGGGGAUUUAAGUCAGGAGUGAAAACUACCGGCUCAACCGGUAGCCUGCUCUUGAAACUGAAUUUCUUGAGGGUAUGAGAGGAAAGCGGAAUUCCCAGUGUAGCGGUGAAAUGCGUAGAUAUUGGGAGGAACACCAGUGGCGAAGGCGGCUUUCUGGCAUACAACUGACGCUGAGGCGCGAAAGCGUGGGGAGCAAACGGGAUUAGAUACCCCGGUAGUCCACGCCGUAAACGAUGGGCACUAGGUGUAGGAGGUAUCGACCCCUUCUGUGCCGUAGUUAACACAAUAAGUGCCCCGCCUGGGGAGUACGGCCGCAAGGUUGA
rnacentral:rRNA from 2 species